rnacentral:tRNA from 1 species
GCGGGCGUGGCGGAAUGGUAGACGCUGCAGACUUAAAAUCUGUUGUCCGUAUGGACGUGGGGGUUCAAGUCCCCCCGCCCGCACCA